rnacentral:rRNA from 1 species
UACGUAGGGGGCAAGCGUUGUCCGGAUUUAUUGGGCGUAAAGAGCGUGUAGGCGGUUUGGUAGGUCCGCUGUGAAAACUCGAGGCUCAACCUCGAGAUGUCGGUUGAAACCACCUGGCUAGAGUCCGGAAGAGGAGAAUGGAAUUCCCGGUGUAGCGGUGAAAUGCGCAGAUAUCGGGAAGAACACCCGUGGCGAAGGCGGUUCUCUGGGACGAUACUGACGCUGAGACGCGAAAGCGUGGGGAGCGAACAGG